rnacentral:rRNA from 1 species
CCUANGGGGGGCUGCAGUGGGGAAUUUUGGACAAUGGGGGCAACCCUGAUCCAGCCAUGCCGCGUGAGUGAAGAAGGCCUUCGGGUUGUAAAGCUCUUUCGGCCGGAACGAAAUCGCGUACGUGAAUAACGUGCGUGGAUGACGGUACUGGAAGAAGAAGCACCGGCUAACUACGUGCCAGCAGCCGCGGUAAUACGUAGGGUGCGAGCGUUAAUCGGAAUUACUGGGCGUAAAGCGUGCGCAGGCGGUUCUGCAAGUCAGAUGUGAAAUCCCCGGGCUUAACCUGGGAACUGCGUUUGAAACUACGGAGCUAGAGUACGGCAGAGGGGGGUGGAAUUCCACGUGUAGCAGUGAAAUGCGUAGAUAUGUGGAGGAACACCGAUGGCGAAGGCAGCCCCCUGGGCCGAUACUGACGCUCAGGCACGAAAGCGUGGGGAGCAAACAGGAUUAGAUACCCGGNUANUC